rnacentral:rRNA from 1 species
UACGGAGGGGGUUAGCGUUAAUCGGAAUUACUGGGCGUAAAGCGCACGCAGGCGGUUUGUUAAGCUAGAUGUGAAAGCCCCGGGCUCAACCUGGGAUGGUCAUUUAGAACAGGCAGACUAGAGUCUUGGAGAGGGGAGUGGAAUUCCAGGUGUAGCGGUGAAAUGCGUAGAUAUCUGGAGGAACAUCAGUGGCGAAGGCGACUCCCUGGCCAAAGACUGACGCUCAUGUGCGAAAGUGUGGGUAGCGAACAGG